rnacentral:lncRNA from 1 species
AGGUUAAAAUAUAAUGUGGUUGACUAUUUUAAGGUUGAUAGUUAAACCCUGGAUCACCUUGAGCAUUAGGGUCAAAGGGAUGAAUUAUACGGUAACCUUAUGCCAGUAGGUUUUAGAAUGUUGCUUUACAAUCUUUUGGUUAUCUGGAUGUUGGAUUCCAUUGCUAGAUGGUUACAUCGAUUUGUGUAAAAAUUUAUUUCUAUACUACUAGCUUAGGUUCGAACCUAUGGAGUCACAUACAUUAGAAGAUUCGGUCU